rnacentral:snRNA from 1 species
AGCUUUGUGCAGUGGCAGUAUCAUAGCCAAUGAGGUUUAUCCGAGGCGUGAUUAUUGCUAAAUGGA